ACUCAAAGGAAUAGACGGGGGCCCGCACAAGCAGUGGAUUAUGUGGUUUAAUUCGAAGCAACGCGAAGAACCUUACCAGGUCUUGACAUCAGGUGCAUAGCAUAGAGAUAUGCGAAGUCCUUCGGGACACCUAGACAGGUGGUGCAUGGUUGUCGUCAGCUCGUGUCGUGAGAUGUUGGGUUAAGUCCCGCAACGAGCGCAACCCUUACGAUUAGUUGCUACGCAAGAGCACUCUAAUGGGACUGCCGUUGACAAAACGGAGGAAGGUGGGGAUGACGUCAAAUCAUCAUGCCCUUUAUGACCUGGGCUACAAACGUAAUACAAUGGCACUCUAACAGAGGGAAGCAAUGCCGCGAGGCGGAGCAAAACCCCAAAAAGUGUCUCAGUUCGGAUCGCAGGCUGCAACUCGCCUGCGUGAAGUCGGAAUUGCUAGUAAUCGCGGAUCAGCAUGCCGCGGUGAAUACGUUCCCGGGCCUUGCACACACCGCCCGU
rnacentral:rRNA from 1 species